CGUGAACAGUUACUACCGGCUUUGGGGUGUUUUGAAAUAAGUGUCUGAUUUGAAGAUUAUUUUACAGCCAAUGAUGUGAAUAAUACACGGAGAGAGUGACUUCAACAAAAUCACUAUUUAAUUAUCGUGGACACGUGGUUACUUUUAAUCUAGCCGACUACGUGCUCAUCGGCCCACUGAAUGUUUAGUGCCAUUUUGUGUACCAGUGGGAUAACGAAAGGGGAUGGGGGAGUUGAAAUCUGUGCAUAAAAGGGGCUGCAGUCAUCUGCAAUAGCGAUAAAAUAUCGUUCAGUUUCGUGUUUAUCGUUUGUCUUCAAAACUCGUCUCAGAUGUGAAAAAUGCUGUUCUAGAGACCUUAGU